GCGCGAAACCUUCACAAUGCACGAAAGUGUGAUGAGGGUACUCCGAGUGCGCAUACAUAGUAUGUGCUUUUCUGCAGCGUAAAUAGUUGCAGGAAUAAGGGCUGGGCAAGACCGGUGCCAGCCGCCGCGGUAACACCGGCAGCCCUAGUGGUGGUCGCUUUUAUUGGGCCUAAAGCGUCCGUAGCCGGAUAGGCAAGUCUUUGGGUAAAUCCUACGUCUUAAGCGUGGGAAUUCUAAAGAUACUACCUGUCUUGAGGCCGGGAGAGGCUAGAGGUACUCCUGGGGUAGGGGUAAAAUCCUAUAAUCCUGGGGGGACCACCGAUGGCGAAGGCAUCUAGCUGGAACGGGCCUGACGGUGAGGGACGAAACCCAGGGGAGCGAGCCGGAUUAGAUACCCGGGUAGUCCUGGGCGUAAAUGAUGUGGGCUUGGUGUGAGCGCAUCGACGAGGUGCGUUUGUGCCGUAGGGAAGCCGUUAAGCCCACCGCCUGGGGAGUACGGUCGCAAGGCUGAAACU
rnacentral:rRNA from 1 species